rnacentral:rRNA from 1 species
UACGGAGGGUGCAAGCGUUAAUCGGAAUUACUGGGCGUAAAGCGCACGCAGGUGGCUGAGUCAGUCGAUUGUGAAAGCCCUGGGCUUAACCUGGGAAUUGCAGUCGAUACUACUCAGCUAGAGUAUGGGAGAGGGUAGUGGAAUUCCCGGUGUAGCGGUGAAAUGCGUAGAGAUCGGGAGGAACACCAGAGGCGAAGGCGGCGACCUGGACAGGUACUGACACUCAACUACGAAAGCGUGGGGAGCAAACAGG